rnacentral:rRNA from 1 species
CAGUCGCCGCGGUAAUACGGAGGGGGCUAGCGUUGUUCGGAAUUACUGGGCGUAAAGCGCACGUAGGCGGCUUGGUAAGUUAGAGGUGAAAGCCUGGAGCUCAACUCCAGAAUUGCCUUUAAGACUGCCGAGCUAGCAGGUGAGAGAGGUAAGUGGAAUUCCGAGUGUAGAGGUGAAAUUCGUAGAUAUUCGGAAGAACACCAGUGGCGAAGGCGGCUUACUGGCUCAUACUGGACGCUGAGGUGCGAAAGCGUGGGGAGCAAACAGGAUUAGAUACCCCGGUAGUCCCUGUCUCUUAUAC